AGUUUCACAGAAAAAAAGUGUUAAGAAUUGUUCUUAACCACUUCAGACUCCAGAGCGUGAAGGGAGACUGAGUUACCUGGUCCAUUGGGGACUUUGACUGUCAGAGAAGGAAGGCAGCUUAGAAGGUCUAUUGCAGAUGUUUGGACAUCAAGUCUAGACAAUUCAGCUGUGCCCUUGAGUUAAUGGUGUUUAUGACUGCCUGAAGUUACAUUUAGAGGCUGAAAUCACUGCACCUUAAAAACAAAAAAGAUUGAGCUCUAGUGCAUUCCUGAUGCUUCAACAACAUUAACUGGUUUUUCUUCACAACAUCACUCUGUGCAGAGGCUGGCAUUUUCCCCCCACAUUGCGAGAGAAAGAGAGUUGGCUGGAAUGAAACCUUGCUUUCCAUAUGGUCAACUUGAAAUGCAGCAUUGAAAAGCUCAACAGUCAAUCGCUGAUUUGUCCCUGAAGGGUCUCAUCCCCUCCUCUUCUCCACAACUGAACAAAGAAGAAAAGAUAAAUCACAGCAAAGAUAGAUACGGAUGAGUCCUGGGCCUAAGGAACAACAGCAGCGUCAAGCCAACCAGCCUCAGAAGCUGGGAAAGGCCAACAGAGGUGGAUCAAAUACACGGCAUUACAAAUGCUGAAUGAAUGUUUGGGAAGAGGAAGAGAAAACAAGAGAGGCAGGAAGGA